rnacentral:rRNA from 1 species
UACGUAGGGUGCAAGCGUUGUCCGGAAUUAUUGGGCGUAAAGAGCUCGUAGGCGGUUUGUCGCGUCUGCUGUGAAAUCUUAGGGCUUAACCCUGAGCUUGCAGUGGGUACGGGCAGACUAGAGUGCGGUAGGGGAGACUGGAAUUCCUGGUGUAGCGGUGAAAUGCGCAGAUAUCAGGAGGAACACCGGUGGCGAAGGCGGGUCUCUGGGCCGUAACUGACGCUGGAGGAG